rnacentral:rRNA from 1 species
CGGACGGGUGAGUAACGCGUAAGAACUUGCCCUUUAGACUGGGAUAACAGAGGGAAACUUCUGAUAAUACUGGAUAAGUUAGUAUAUCGCAUGAUAUGCAAAUGAAAGCUACGGCACUAAAGGAGAGCUUUGCGUCCUAUUAGCUAGUUGGUAAGGUAAGAGCUUACCAAGGCGAUGAUAGGUAGCCGGCCUGAGAGGGUGGACGGCCACAUUGGGACUGAGAUACGGCCCAGACUCCUACGGGAGGCAGCAGAG